rnacentral:rRNA from 1 species
UACGUAGGGGGCAAGCGUUGUCCGGAAUCAUUGGGCGUAAAGAGCGUGUAGGCGGCCAGAAAAGUCCGCUGUGAAAACUCGAGGCUCAACUUCGAGCUGUCGGUGGAAACUUUCUGGCUAGAGUCCGGAAGAGGAGAAUGGAAUUCCUGGUGUAGCGGUGAAAUGCGCAGAUAUCAGGAAGAACACCCGUGGCGAAGGCGGCUCUCGUGGGACGGUACUGACGCUGAGACGCGAAAGCGUGGGGAGCGAACAGG